GGGCUCUUCUCAACGACGGCUGGUGGGGGGGAGGUGGGACCACCUCUCCCUGGCUGGACGUCUUCGCAUAGCUGUGUGUGUGAGUGUAUUUCAUGUGUGGCGGCCAGCGAUGGGACCCGAGCUUCCCGUCUCUUCAGGUUAAGGUAUUGUGAUACAUACUUCAUUCUGCACCUCAGCGCGGGAGCAACUCGUCAGCGGUAAAGUGCCAGUCGCCUUUGUUGCAUGCUCUUUUCUUUUCAGCCGCGUCACGUACUAAUGCUAAUGUGUUUGCUUUCCAGGACACGCUAAUCACUUGCUCUAUUUUACCUUCCAGCACAUGCUAAUCACUUGUUUUGCCUUCCAGGACACACUAAUAAAUGAUUUUGUCUUCCACGUAGGUUUUUUUCGGAGUGUUUACUGCGCACCCUCCUCAGGGAAAACUAAAUUAGGUUUCCCGAAGGUUACAGCUGCCUUGUAAUCUUCGAGAAACCUGAUUUUUCUCCUUCCGGUUACUUUCAUAGAUCAAACCUUUUUUUUUCUCUCUUUUUCUCCUUCUGUCUUAUGUUUACGUCAACGUCCCCCUCACACGCCUCAGAUCUCCCCUCCACCACCGCCACCUGUUAUCAUCCUGUAGUCAUUCCUCCGCUCCACCCUUGUCCUCUGUCAGUCUUUCAUCCGCCUCUCCUCUCUGCGUCCACCCUUUUUCACUCACCCACCCACAUGCGACUUCACAAGAGCACCGCCACACCAGGCCCUUGUGCGCCUUCGUCAAAGUGUCCUGCUACAGCUGUGGUGGUGGGUCGCUGCCCUCUGGAAAACAUGCCGGUUCGUCCCUCCAUAGUGGUGAAUCAUGGAAUUGGUUACGUUACCAAGACUGCACUUACGAACUGAAGCACGUGCCGCC